rnacentral:rRNA from 1 species
UACGUAGGCGGCGAGCGUUGUUCGGAGUUAUUGGGCGUAAAGGGUGUGUAGGCGGUUGUUUAAGUUUGGUGUGAAAUCUCCCGGCUCAACUGGGAGGGUGCGCCGAAUACUGAAUGACUUGGAGUGCGGGAGAGGUGAGUGGAAUUCCUGGUGUAGCGGUGAAAUGCGUAGAUAUCUGGAGGAACACCGGUGGCGAAGGCGGCAUUCUGGACCGGCAUUGACGCUGAGGCGCGAAAGCCAGGGGAGCAAACGGG